GGUCAUCCGGGAGGGACUCGGAGUAGAGCCGCUGCUUCUCCACGUCGAGAGGAGCCAGCUGAGGUGGUUCGGGCAUCUGGUUAGGAUGCCUCAGGCAAGUCCACCCAGGAGGAGAGCAGGAGAAAUGAAGGAGGUAGCAGGGAAGACUUUCAGUUUCACUUUGGAAAUCAUAUAAGCUGCUCCCCACUGACGCAGGGCUGCAGCAAUCAUACCCUCACUGAGGCUUCUGGACACAGCUGAUACUCGUGUCUACCGAGAAGUCACAACAAAAACAAUACAAGGAAACCAGUUCCAUCGGCAGCCAAACAUGCCCAUAUCAUAAAACUGGCGUCGCCAUGUGACUCAGAUGAGAUGAGACCAAAAUGGGAUUUUCUUCAUCAAAAUCACUUCCUGCUACUCCUGAACCGUCACCAGGGAAAAAGAGGAGAUAUUGAAAGAACUGAGAGAUGUAACAUCAUAUAAGGAGCCCCUUAGGAUUCUCCUGUAUGGACCAGUUGGGGCAGGGAAGUCGUGCUUCAUAAACUCUGUUCAGAAGAGCCUCAUAGGCCGUAAUGUCAUCAAUGCUCAAGAAAGCUCAGCAGCAGCUGGAAUAAGCUUCACUCGUUCAGUGUACUUUCAUGCUAUGAAUCUCCUGUUCUACCACGCCCUAAAGGUGCUCUAUUGAAUUCAGAUCUGGUGACUGGGAAGUCCACUGAAGAACACUGAACUCAUUGUCAUGAUGAUGACACCAGUUUGACCUGGUGACACCAUGCUGGAAGUAGCCAUUAGAACAUGGUAAAGUGUGGCCAUGAAGGGAUGCACACAGUCAACAAUAUUCAAACAGGCUGUGGCGUUCAAGUAACGAUUGAUUGAUAUUUAUAGGCCCAAGGUCUGCCAAGAAACAUUCCCAACACCAUUUCCAUACCCGAAUUACUGACACAAGGCAGAUGGAUUCAUGCUGUUGGUGCCAAAUUCUGACACUACCAUCUAUGUACCUCAGUAGAAAUCAAGGUUCGUCAGAACAGGCUUUGAUUUCCAGUCUCCAGCCAUCCAGUUUUCCUGAGCUUGUGCCCACUGCAGCCUCAGCUUUCUGUUCUUGGCUGACAUGGUCUUCUACUGUUGUAGCCCAUCCACCUCAAGACUUGAUGUACUGUGCAUUCCAAGAUGCUUUUCUGCUCAACACAAUUGUACAGAGUGGUUAUCUAAGUUAGCGCAGCCCUUCUGUCAGCUUGAACCAAUCUGGCCAUUUUCUAUUGAUCUCUUAACCAACAGGGCAUUUCCAUCAGCACUGCACCAUCCUGAGUAAACUCUAGAGAGUGUUGUGUGUGAAAAUCCCAGGAGAUCAGCAGUUACAGAAACUCAAACAGGCCUGUCUGGCAGCUAUAAUCAUGGCACGUUCAAAAUGACUAAGGUCACACUUUUAGGAGUUUUUCCAUUUGAGUCUUGGUUCCUCUCAGUGGUUCUUCUUUAAGUUUUUUAUGAAGUUUCUCCUUUUGAGUCUUCAUUCCUCAUAGCGAUUCUUCCUUAUGCUGUUAGAGAGUUGCUCUUGAUUUCUCACAGAGGUUCUUCUGUAUACUUUCACAUAGUUCCUCUUGGUUCCUCACACUGGUUCCCCUUCAUAUUUUUCUGGAGUUUUUUCCUUUUUCAUUCUUCUUUAUACUCUUAGGGAGUUUCUCCUCUCAGUUACUUUCUUUUUUUUUUGAAGGGCCCCAACCAAGGUUUUCGGGGGGCCCUCAUUCUUACCAGUAGAUGUGCUAUAAAAUUAGAGGCUAACUGAUAACAAUGACUACCACAAACCUCUAAAACCUAAAUUACACAAUUUUGCAUUGUAUUGUUGAUGACUGGAUGCUCGCUUUGGGUUCUAACACGUUUCAGGGUAAAUUACAGAUAACUUUCUCUGCAUUCUUGAUUCAGGGUUCUGUCUCAUCAUGUAUUCAAGUUGGUUUUCCUCACUUUACCAAUUAACUUUAAGUUUAUUUAACCUUGCCAACAGCAUUGCUUUUACCAUUCUAAAUGCUUUACUUUCUACAUAUUUUGGUAGUAUGCCUUCUUUUUCUUUUUUUGUUUCACAGAAAUAGCUGUUCAUCAUAAACAUCAUGCUUUUUUGUGCAUGUACAUGAGGAUUACUCACAGCUUAAGCAUCUAAACCUCAGAGCUGUUGUGAAAAAAGUUAACCUAGGCUUGUUAGGUUUUCCAAAAGUCUAACUAGGUUGAACUUGCUUCAGUAGACAGACCCAAGAUCCUCUACAUAUCACUUAUUAGAUACUGCUCUCAGUGUUUCUUCUUCAUGCUGUUAGGGAGUUUCUCCUUUGGCAAAAUCUGUUGCUAACAAGGUUAUGCCCACACUAAAACCCGGCUGCAAAUUUUUCUAGUCUGUACUCUUUUAACAUCUGGAGUACCUGCAAAACAAACUAGCUAGUGAAACACUGUUUUUCCUUUGCAAGAAGUAAUGUUUAUUUUUACAGCACGUAAUAUGUAAUGCACACACACAACAAACAUACAUGCUUCAUCGAGUUUUUGGGUGUUUUUUCUGUCUGGCUAACUUACAUUACUCCUAUGGGCUAAUGGCAUGCUUGAUGUGUCAAGUCAAAGUUUAUUUAUAUAGCGCUUUUUACAACAGGUGUUUUCCUAAAGCAGCUUUACAGAAAAAUCGGGGUCCAAGCUCCCAUGAGUGUCACCAAUGGUGACAGUGGCAAGGAAAUCUCCCUUAUAGAGGAAGAAACCCUGAGAGGAACAAAGACUCAAAAGGGGAACCAAUCCUCCUCUGUUUGGCACCGGAUAGCAAAACAACGACAAGACAAAUUCUCUCGUUAAUCAAUCAUGUGAGAGGAUACUGGAAUUUCCUAAAUAAAAUACAGAACCAAAACUAAACACUGUUUAAAUACUUACAGAAGACACUGUAAUUGAAAAAGCCAUGUAUCUAUGAGUCAAGGAAUUAGGUAACACUUUAUUUUGAUAGUCCACUUUAGACGCUUUGUAGAUGCUCAAUUUAACUUAUAUCUAAAUGCCUUUUCUAUGCAACUGAACUUGAAGUUGACUUUGAAAGAUUCUAAUAAUUCUAAACCUAAACCUUAAGCUAAACCUGACCCUAACUUCAACACAAAACCUACAUCUGUCCCUUAACCCUAACUAUAAUGUUGUUGAUAAUCAACCGUCACCAUCAAGAUUGAUAAUAAUUUAAGUAUUUGUAGAUAGCAUCAAAAUAAAGUGUGACCCAGAAUUAUUCUAAACCCAAUCAACACAAAACAAGCAUGCAAGGUCUUUACUGACUGCAGCAGAGUCAUUUACUUACUUCCAGUCAAUGUCCCUCCACGGUGUUUCAAAGUCUGUGAAAUAAAGAUAAUACAGUUACAGGGAGGAAUACUAAUACUAAUACUAAUACUAAUUAUUAUGUAUUAAAAUGUUAAUUGCAGUAGGAUUAUAAUAUCAAAGGGAAAACAGACUGGAACAUAAAAAUGUACUGUUAAGUUACAUGUACUCAAUAAAUGAAAAUGAAUUAAAAUGUUUUUAAAUCAUAACAGAAUAGCAGUGGCUCCUAAAAAUGUUACAGUCCAGUAUCCCCUCAGUCAUUAAACAUGCUACAAACCCCAGCUCACUCCUUAUACACAUACACAUGCAUGUUGUAAUGACAUGCAUGUAGGAUGUAUAUCCUUGUAAAAUCAGUCCCCCUUAAUAUGUCAAACAUGUAUGUUGCGUGAUGAUGCAACACAUAAGAUGUAUUCAGUAAUAUUGAAUGAAUAAAUAAUGUUAAUAAUGCUGAUGAGGUCUGUAUUACAGGCGUGGUUCACUCUGGAGUGCUACUCAGAACACAGGGAUGAGGAAGAGGAGUGAAAUUUCUUCAUUUGUAGCAUUAAUCACACAGGCAGUGGUCAAUAUGAGCGACAUACACUACAUGGAGUUCAGGUGUUUCAGCCAUUGCUAAGAAGUGUAUAAAAUAUAUUUUAUAUUAUACACAUAGUCUUGCAAUCUCCAUAGGAAGACCCCAGUGACUUUAAAUGUGGCACUGUUACAGGUUGCCACCUCUGCCACAAGUCAGUUUGUGAAAUUUCUGUCCUGCUAGAUCUGCCCCAGACAACUGUAAGUGCAAUUAUUAUGAAAUGGAAGCAUGUGGAAGCAACAACAGCCCAGCCUUGAAGCACUAGACUGCUGAGUGCUGAAGCAUGUAAAAUUUAGCUGUUAUCCAUUGCAUCACACACUACAGAGUCACAAUUUGCCUCUGGAAGCAACAUCACAAGAACUGUGCAGCGGAAGCCUCAUGAAAUGAGUGUCCACGGCCAACCAGAUGGGCAAAAUCCCAAGAUCACUAUGCACAAUGCCAACCCUCGACUUGAGUGGUGUAAAGGGCUGUCACUGGAUUCUGAAGCAGUGGAAACAUGCUCUCUGGAGUGAUGAAUCACACUUCGGUGUCUGACAGUGUGGUUUGGGUUUCUUCGGUCCAGUGAAGGGUAAUGCUUACUGAUAGCAUGCAAAACAUUUUAGCCCCUUUUAAAUGGGCUAAGUGUGAGUUUGGCUUUUAACACUCUGUGCAUUUAACAUUCUGUAAAAAUGUAUGUAAACAUUACCUCAAUGGUAAGAUGUUAAAAUAAAAUGCCUGCAAAUACA